CACGCAGGUGGCUAAGUCAGUCGAUUGUGAAAGCCCUGGGCUUAACCUGGGAAUUGCAGUCGAUACUACUUGGCUAGAGUAUGGGAGAGGGCAGUGGAAUUCCCGGUGUAGCGGUGAAAUGCGUAGAGAUGUGGAAGAAUACCAGAGGCGAAGGCGGCCUCCUGGACAGAUACUGACACUGAGGUGCGAAAGCGUGGGUAGCAAACA
rnacentral:rRNA from 1 species